rnacentral:rRNA from 1 species
ACGAGUGGCGGACGGGUGAGUAAUGUCUGGGAAACUGCCUGAUGGAGGGGGAUAACUACUGGAAACGGUAGCUAAUACCGCAUAACGUCGCAAGACCAAAGAGGGGGACCUUAGGGCCUCUUGCCAUCGGAUGUGCCCAGAUGGGAUUAGCUAGUAGGUGGGGUAAAGGCUCACCUAGGCGACGAUCCCUAGCUGGUCUGAGAGGAUGACCAGCCACACUGGAACUGAGACACGGUCCAGACUCCUACGGGAGGCAGCAGUGGGGAAUAUUGCACAAUGGGCGCAAGCCUGAUGCAGCCAUGCCGCGUGUAUGAAGAAGGCCUUCGGGUUGUAAAGUACUUUCAGCGGGGAGGAAGGGAGUAAAGUUAAUACCUUUGCUCAUUGACGUUACCCGCAGAAGAAGCACCGGCUAACUCCGUGCCAGCAGCCGCGGUAAUACGGAGGGUGCAAGCGUUAAUCGGAAUUACUGGGCGUAAAGCGCACGCAGGCGGUUUGUUAAGUCAGAUGUGAAAUCCCCGGGCUCAACCUGGGAACUGCAUCUGAUACUGGCAAGCUUGAGUCUCGUAGAGGGGGGUAGAAUUCCAGGUGUAGCGGUGAAAUGCGUAGAGAUCUGGAGGAAUACCGGUGGCGAAGGCGGCCCCCUGGACGAAGACUGACGCUCAGGUGCGAAAGCGUGGGGAGCAAACAGGAUUAGAUACCCUGGUAGUCCACGCCGUAAACGAUGUCGACUUGGAGGUUGUGCCCUUGAGGCGUGGCUUCCGGAGCUAACGCGUUAAGUCGACCGCCUGGGGAGUACGGCCGCAAGGUUAAAACUCAAAUGAAUUGACGGGGGCCCGCACAAGCGGUGGAGCAUGUGGUUUAAUUCGAUGCAACGCGAAGAACCUUACCUGGUCUUGACAUCCACGGAAGUUUUCAGAGAUGAGAAUGUGCCUUCGGGAACCGUGAGACAGGUGCUGCAUGGCUGUCGUCAGCUCGUGUUGUGAAAUGUUGGGUUAAGUCCCGCAACGAGCGCAACCCUUAUCCUUUGUUGCCAGCGGUCCGGCCGGGAACUCAAAGGAGACUGCCAGUGAUAAACUGGAGGAAGGUGGGGAUGACGUCAAGUCAUCAUGGCCCUUACGACCAGGGCUACACACGUGCUACAAUGGCGCAUACAAAGAGAAGCGACCUCGCGAGAGCAAGCGGACCUCAUAAAGUGCGUCGUAGUCCGGAUUGGAGUCUGCAACUCGACUCCAUGAAGUCGGAAUCGCUAGUAAUCGUGGAUCAGAAUGCCACGGUGAAUACGUUCCCGGGCCUUGUACACACCGCCCGUCACACCAUGGGAGUGGGUUGCAAAAGAAGUAGGUAGCUUAACCUUCGGGAGGGCGCUUACCACUUUGUGAUUCAUGACUGGGGUGAAGUCGUAACAAGGUAACCGUAGGGGAACCUGCGGUUGGAUCACCUCCUUACCUUAAAGAAGC